AAUAUGUGACAAUGGGGGCAACCCUGAUCCAGCCAUGCCGCGUGUGUGCAGAUGGUCNNNGGUUUNUCAAGCACUUCAAGGUGNGAGNAAUGGCUUUAGGUUAAUACCCUGAAGUUUUGACGUUACCAACAGCAUAAGCACCGGCUAACUCUGUGCCAGCAUCCGCGGUAAUACAGAGGGUGCAAGCGUUAAUCGGAAUUACUGGGCGUAAAGCGCGCGUAGGUGGUUCAGUAAGAUGGGUGUGAAAUCCCCGGGCUUAACCUGGGAACUGCUUUCAUAACUGCUGAGCUAGAGUACGGUAGAGGGUAGUGGAAUUUCCUGUGUAGCGGUGAAAUGCGUAGAUAUAGGAAGGAACACCAGUGGCGAAGGCGACUACCUGGACUGAUACUGACACUGAGGUGCGAAAGCGUGGGGAGCAAAC
rnacentral:rRNA from 1 species